rnacentral:lncRNA from 1 species
GUUAUUCAUUCUAGGUGUCAAUGAGCAAAACAUGGUCUCUGACCAUGAGUCAUUAACAGUCUGGAAAAGUCAGACAGAUUCUGAACUAACCAAAAUGGCAAUGGAAGAUUUGAGCCCAGCUAUGAUUGCCUAGAAGAAGCAGUCACCUAGGUUCAUAGAUGAAUUUAGGGAAGAAAGGAAGAUUAUGACCUAGCUAGGCACAGAGCCUUGACCUCAUAGCUAUGAUAUAGUUAGGAGUCUUUGAGCCUACAGAAGUUUUGAGUCUACAAGCCAUGAAAUGACUUAGCCUCAGCUCUGAAGGAAAUCACAGCCAUAGCUCCUGGAUUCCCCCUCCACUCAUCAGCAUCCUCUUCCUCAUAAUUUCCUUGGCCCCACCUUGAGACUCACCAAAUUCAGAAGGCUGUACUGCUGCUAUUCCUUGCUGUUUUCUACAGGAGCUGCGGAGGCUGAUUUUAUGGACCCUGACUCCACUAGUCCCUUCCCUCCACACUACUCACAAGAGUUAGUGCCAU